GUUUGAUCCUGGCUCAGGAUAAACGCUGGCGGCGUGCCUAAAACAUGCAAGUCGAACGGCUCACUUCGGUGGGUAGUGGCGAACGGCUGAGUAACACGUGGGUGACCUGCCUUCGAACGGGGGAUAACUGCCCGAAAGGGUGGCUAAUACCGCAGAUGUCUGUGCUUCGGUGUGCAGACUGAACUUGAGGGGUUCGGAGAGGGGCCUGCGUCCGAUUAGCUAGCUGGUGGGGUAACGGCCUACCAGGGCGACGAUCGGUAGCUGGUCUGAGAGGAUGAUCAGCCAGACUGGGACUGCGAACGGCCCAGACUCCUACGGGAGGCAGCAGUUAGGAAUUUUGGGCAAUGGGCGAAAGCCUGACCCAGCAACGCCGCGUGGGUGAUGAAGGCCCUCGGGUCGUAAAGCCCUUUUCCAGGGGAAGAUAGUGACGGUACCCUGGGAAUCAGCCCCGGCUAACUACGUGCCAGCAGCCGCGGUAAUACGUAGGGGGCAAGCGUUGUCCGGAUUUAUUGGGCGUAAAGCGCUCGCAGGUGGUUCGUUGCGUCGUGCGUGAAAGACCCCGGCUCAACUGGGGGGCGUCGUGCGAUACGGGCGGACUAGAGGCCAGUAGGGGGAUGCGGAAUUCCGGGUGUAGUGGUGGAAUGCGUAGAGAUCCGGAGGAACACCAGCGGCGAAGGCGGCAUCCUGGACUGGUCCUGACACUCAGGAGCGAAAGCGUGGGGAGCGAUCCGGAUUAGAUACCCGGGUAGUCCACGCUGUAAACGAUGAGUACUAGGUGUUGGGGGUAUCGACCCCCUCAGUGCCGAAGCAAACGCGAUAAGUACUCCGCCUGGGGACUACGGCCGCAAGGCUAAAACUCAAAGGAAUUGACGGGGGCCCGCACAAGCAGCGGAGCGUGUGGUUU
rnacentral:rRNA from 1 species